rnacentral:tRNA from 1 species
GCCAGUGUGGCGUAGUGGUUUGAGUGUUGGACUAUGAUUCUGGAGACCAAGGUUCGAGUCCCUGCUCAGACA